rnacentral:rRNA from 1 species
CCUACGGGGGACAGCAGUGGGGAAUAUUGGGCAAUGGAGGCAACUCUGACCCAGCAACGCCGCGUGAAGGAAGAAGGCCUUAGGGUUGUAAACUUAUGUUGUAAAGGAAGAAAAGAAUGACGGUACUUUACAAGAAAGCCCCGGCUAACUAUGUGCCAGCAGCCGCGGUAAUACGUAGGGGGCAAGCGUUAUCCGGAUUUACUGGGUGUAAAGGGAGCGUAGACGGCUAAUCAAGUCAGAAGUGAAAACCCAGGGCUCAACCUUGGGACUGCUUUUGAAACUGAGUAGCUAGAGUGCAGGAGAGGUAAGCGGAAUUCCUAGUGUAGCGGUGAAAUGCGUAGAUAUUAGGAGGAACACCAGUGGCGAAGGCGGCUUACUGGACUGUAACUGACGUUGAGGCUCGAAAGCGUGGGGAGCAAACAGGAUUAGAUACCCUUGUAGUC